rnacentral:lncRNA from 1 species
CCCCUUCAAGCUCUUCCAUUUCUUUCUCUGAUUCCUUCAACGGGGGUUCUAUUCUCAGUUCAGUGGUUUGCUGCUGGCAUUCGCCUCUGUAUUUGCUGUAUUCUGGCUGUGUCUCUCAGGAGCGAUCUACAUCCGGCUCCUGUUGGUCUGCACUUCUUUGCUUCAUCCAUCUUGUCUAAUUGGGUGGCUGUAUAUGUAUGGGCCACAUGUGGGGCAGGCUCUGAAUGGGUGUUCCUUCAGUCUCUGUUUUAAUCUUUGCCUCUCCCUUCCCUGCCAAGGGUAUUCUUUUUCCUCAUUUAAAGAAGGAGUGAAGCAUUCACAUUUUGAUCAUCCGUCUUGAGUUUCGUUUGUUCUAGGGAUCUAGGGUAAUUCAAGCAUUUGGGCUAAUAGCCACUUAUCAAUGAGUGCAUACCAUGUAUGUCUUUCUGUGAUUGGGUUAGCUCACUCAGGAUGAUAUUUUCCAGUUCCAACCAUUUGCC